rnacentral:lncRNA from 1 species
CUCUCAUCUAACAGAUGGAACCAGCACCAGUCCUGAGCCAGUUCAGCCAAAACAACGUCCCCACUGCAAACAGACACCCAGCACCUUCUACCCCCAGCAGCAGGGACCCAGGGGGAUAAACAGUUCCCCUCCCUCCUCAGCACAGUAUGCAGGACAGGGUGUCAGCUCCGAGUCCUCGUCCACAAAAUCGGACUCCUCCAGGACCAGAGACACUGGCUCAACAGCCACCAGCCGCAGCUCAGAGCCCAUUGGACGGCACCAGUCACAUUUUGGGGUACCCUCCACAGCACAGGGAUCAUCCGUAUGAUGCGAACCAUCUACGGGCUCUGCAGGAGGAGAACACGGACCUGCAGCAGAACUUAGUGCAGACGGUGGUUUGCAUUGAGAGCCUAGAGGCAGAGCUACAGAGAACCAGAGAAGAACUUAGUCAUGUUAAAGAAAAAUACACAAGGUUGGCCUGCUUCACAGAGUCAAUGCAUUUAGGAUUUCUGCUGUGCACCAAUAGAAACUGAGGAUCAGAUGU